AUUGAACGCUGGCGGCAGGCCUAACACAUGCAAGUAGAGCGGAGCGGCGGACGGGUGAGGAAUGUCGGGGAAAAUGCCUGAUGGCGGUGGAUAACUACUGGAAACAGUAGCUAAUACCGCAUACUAUCACAUGAGCCUAGGUCGGCUAAGAUAGUUGGUGGGGUAAAGGCCUACCAAGGCGACGAUCCGUAACUGGUCUGAGUGGAUGAUCAGUCACACUGGAACUGAAACACGGUCCAGACUCCUACGGGAGGCAGCAGUGGGGAAUAUUGGACAAUGGGCGAAAGCCUGAUCCAGCCAUGCCGCGUGUGUGAAGAAGGUCUUCGGAUUGUAAAGCACUUUAAGUUGGGAGGCGUUACCAACAGAAUAAGCACCGGCUAACUUCGUGCCAGCAGCCGCGGUAAUAC
rnacentral:rRNA from 1 species